GUCACAUAUUUUUUGAUGUGUUUAAGUACUUUAUGUGUUCAGUAAAUGUCAUAAUGCCAUUAAUUCUCUUUGCAGAGACAUCCAAUUUUAUCCCGUUAUCAAGGUGUAGUGCAACCAGUGGAGUAUUUGUCUGAACACUGAAGGUCUGGAGUGGAUUUGUCUGAAAAGAUGGGUAUUGAAAAUUCAAAACUAGUCACUUGGAAGUUAGGGUUCAGUGAAUGCUGGCACCUCAAGUCUCUGAGCAAAGUAAAAACAAAUUUUAAGGUUUCCAAAUCUGUAGUUUUCUUUUUAAUGUGUAGGUAAGUGUCAAGUAUGGUUUGUAAGUGAAAAGCAUGCUAUUUUUUUGUUUUUUUUUUUUUUUUAAUAUUGUUAAUGUGAACAUUUUUUGUCAUCGUAGUACUUUUUCACAUGACUCAACCCAGAAGGUUGCUAAGCAACCUUCUGCAGCCAGGGAAAAGCACAGGCAGGCUUAACAGAAGAUUCAUGUGGGUGACCCUAAUACUAAGAAAAAUUAUCUGAGCAUCUAAAAGCUUCCAUUGUUUUUUAAAGCCUUUAUGACCAAAUACCAGUAAUUUACUCUUACUUACUCAAGAGCCAUUUAUGAAACUGCUGCAGUCACCCAACUUUUUCACCUUCUGGGAAAGUAAAUGAGUAAAUAAUACUUUGUAGCUUUAUUUCUCACUACUGUAUUCUAGAAGUAUUUCUUUUAUGGGUUGUUAAGGUAUUAUCAAAAGCUUUUGUGCUUUCAGUAAUGGUUAAGUGAGGAGGUGGCUCUUGCAGCGAUGACUGAAAAAAUGUGAGUGCAACAGGGGACAGCCAGAGCUGACCUGAGGACAUCCAGCACUGAGGACACAGUUCUGCUGGGCUAUCUGUGGACCUGGCCCUUCUUGGUGUCAUCAGAACUGCCUGGACAAGGAGUGGGUAUCCACAGGCAGCACAGCUCUGACCAGAUCUCAGAGAACAAGAUAACCUGGCACAAGUCCUCUUCUGUUGACAAACAAUUUAUCUGUUCCAGUACUGGCAUCAAUGCAAUGGGAUUUGUUACAGGACAAGGAAUGUUCAAACAGUUAAGAGGGCACAUGCUGUUCACAGGACCAGAACAGAAACAUUUGUACUGCCAAAGAAGGUAUUUUGUAUAAAACUGCAUGGAUCCACAGUGACACCCAGCGGCCACUGUCCUUGCCAUAGUGAUGCGUUUACUAAAGUAACAUUUCCAUGUCCUUUUGUUUAGUAUGCAUUUUGUAUGAAAGCAGUAACUCUUAAGAAAGUCUGGUUUAAUAGGAUUAAGCCAAACAUUGUUUGUUUGUUUGUUUAAAUUUACUUUAUAUAAGUAUUUUAAUAUUAUGAGUUGUGUGCAGUGUGUGAUGGUGGCAAAUACUGCUUUUAUAUAGGUUGAAGACAUGGUUUCAUUAGCCAAUGCUAAAAGUGAUGUACACAGCCAAUAUGAAUGGAAAAUGAAGACAAUUAAAAGUCAGAAUGGCAUCUUGGAGUUAUACUGUGAAAACCUUUAAGAAGAGCUUAUGUGUAACACAAUUAAUAUUAUGUGAACUUUAAUUAAUAUAAUAGUAACGUUCCAUUAGCUAAAAAUGUGUACACACAUUACUUCUAGUAAAUUAUCAAUAUGGUUGCACUUCUUCUUCAGCCUUGGUCUUAAGCCAGUGAUUCAACACAAAUGGAUGGCAAAAUCUUCAAGGCACAGGCUUGUCUCUAAGUUUGUGAACUAAAUUACUGAAAUAAAAUGAAAAGAAAAAUGAACUAUUAUUUAUAU
rnacentral:lncRNA from 1 species